ensembl:lncRNA
UGUGUUUCUCCCCCUGCUGUAUGACUCAGUGUACUGCACUUCCUCCUCCACACAGAAUCCUGUUUAUGGCCGAAUAAGAACUUUAGUGCAGCGCUUUUUAUAAACAUCAUUCACACCGCUGUUUAUUUAUUUAUUUAUUACUGACUGUGUGUUUAUUUCUUGUCUUUAUCAACCGCGGGGUUUUUAUUCCCUGUGUCAGGAGAUGAACCUGCAGCUGAUAUGUCCUGAUAAAUAAACACACCUAACAGGUAAAGUACAUAUUUAAUACACACACACACACACACACACACACAUAAACUCACACACAUACACAGACACACACUGUGUUAUUAUCUGGAGUGUGAUGUGGAGUUAUUAAAGCUGAAACCGCUGCUGGAGUUUAUUAUGGUUUCGGAUGACAAGAUUAGCCACAGGUGCUAGCUGUUUUUAGCAUUUAGCAUUUUAGCAAGAUGACUUUCAGUCGACGGAAACGGUAUUUUCUCCCACAUUAGCGUCACACAUUUGAUUAUUUUAGCAAACGCUCGGUUUUCGAGUUGCAGAAGAAAAGCGGAGAAUUUAUCCAGACUCGUUAAAUGCGUAAUUUCGGGAAAUGUAGGUAGCCUUCUCCACCCGUAUUCAGGCAAUCCCUCAAGCCCUGCAGGGAAUGGCUACUCGUUAACCCAAACAAUCCUCUGAUUGGUUAGUUUUACAUCCACGGUUAAAGCAGACGCGAUCCUAUUGGCUAAUCAUCUCUUAGGAGGCGGAGCCUGUCGGAACCGAGUUUAAUGGAAGACUUAAAAAAUACAGAAGAAGAUCAGAGUAAUCCAGUUUCUCACCAGGUGUGGCACAUUAUGGUUUAAUGCAGGCAGAACAAA